GAUGAACGCUGGCGGCGUGCCUAAUACAUGCAAGUCGAGCGAACAGACGAGGAGCUUGCUCCUCUGACGUUAGCGGCGGACGGGUGAGUAACACGUGGAUAACCUACCUAUAAGACUGGGAUAACUUCGGGAAACCGGAGCUAAUACCGGAUAAUAUAUUGAACCGCAUGGUUCAAUAGUGAAAGACGGUUUUGCUGUCACUUAUAGAUGGAUCCGCGCCGCAUUAGCUAGUUGGUAAGGUAACGGCUUACCAAGGCAACGAUGCGUAGCCGACCUGAGAGGGUGACCGCCCACACGGGAAGUAAGCCACGGCCCAGCGCCCGCGGGGAGGCGGGAGUAGGGAAUCUUCCGCAAGGGGCGAAAGCCGAACGGAGCACCGCCGGGUGAGUAAUAAAGGUCUUCGGAUCUAAAACCUCGUUUAUAGGGAAAAAAAAAAUGUGUAAUUAACUAUGCACGUCUGGAGGGUACCUAAUCAGAAACCCACGCCAAACUACGUG
rnacentral:rRNA from 1 species